rnacentral:rRNA from 1 species
UGGGGAAUAUUGGACAAUGGGGGCAACCCUGAUCCAGCCAUGCCGCGUGUGUGAAGAAGGCCUUUUGGUUGUAAAGCACUUUAAGCAGGGAGGAGAGGCUAAUGGUUAAUACCCAUUAGAUUAGACGUUACCUGCAGAAUAAGCACCGGCUAACUCUGUGCCAGCAGCCGCGGUAAUACAGAGGGUGCGAGCGUUAAUCGGAAUUACUGGGCGUAAAGCGAGUGUAGGUGGCUCAUUAAGUCACAUGUGAAAUCACCGGGCUUAACCUGGGAACUGCAUGUGAUACUGGUGGUGCUAGAAUAUGUGAGAGGGAAGUAGAAUUCCAGGUGUAGCGGUGAAAUGCGUAGAGAUCUGGAGGAAUACCGAUGGCGAAGGCAGCUUCCUGGCAUAAUAUUGACACUGAGAUUCGAAAGCGUGGGUAGCAAACAGG